rnacentral:rRNA from 1 species
AGUCGAACGGACCCUUCGGGGUUAGUGGCGGACGGGUGAGUAACACGUGGGAACGUGCCUUUAGGUUCGGAAUAGCUCCUGGAAACGGGUGGUAAUGCCGAAUGUGCCCUUCGGGGGAAAGAUUUAUCGCCUUUAGAGCGGCCCGCGUCUGAUUAGCUUGUUGGUGGGGUAAUGGCCCACCAAGGCUACGAUCAGUAGCUGGUCUGAGAGGAUGACCAGCCACAUUGGGACUGAGACACGGCCCAAACUCCUACGGGAGGCAGCAGUGGGGAAUCUUGCGCAAUGGGCGAAAGCCUGACGCAGCCAUGCCGCGUGUAUGAUGAAGGUCUUAGGAUUGUAAAAUACUUUCACCGGUGAAGAUAAUGACUGUAGCCGGAGAAGAAGCCCCGGCUAACUUCGUGCCAGCAGCCGCGGUAAUACGAAGGGGGCUAGCGUUGCUCGGAAUUACUGGGCGUAAAGGGAGCGUAGGCGGACAUUUAAGCCAGAGGUGAAAUCCCGGAGCUCAACUCCGGAACUGCCUUUGAUACUGGGUGUCUUGAGUGUGAGAGAGGUAUGUGGAACUCCGAGUGUAGAGGUGAAAUUCGUAGAUAUUCGGAAGAACACCAGUGGCGAAGGCGACAUACUGGCUCAUUACUGACGCUGAGGCUCGAAAGCGUGGGGAGCAAACAGGAUUAGAUACCCUGGUAGUCCACGCCGUAAACGAUGAUUGCUAGUUGUCGGGGAGUUUACUUCUCGGUGACGCAGCUAACGCA